GGCCAGGUAGCUCAGUCGGUAGAGCAGGGGAUUGAAAAUCCCCGUGUCGGGAGUUCGAUUCUCUCCCUGGCCA
rnacentral:tRNA from 1 species